rnacentral:rRNA from 1 species
GAUGAACGCUGGCGGCGUGCCUAAUACAUGCAAGUCGAGCGAACAGACGAGGAGCUUGCUCCUCUGACGUUAGCGGCGGACGGGUGAGUAACACGUGGAUAACCUACCUAUAAGACUGGGAUAACUUCGGGAAACCGGAGCUAAUACCGGAUAAUAUAUUGAACCGCAUGGUUCAAUAGUGAAAGACGGUUUUGCUGUCACUUAUAGAUGGAUCCGCGCCGCAUUAGCUAGUUGGUAAGGUAACGGCUUCCAAGGCAACGAUGCGUAGCCGACCUGAGAGGGUGAUCGGCCACACUGGAACUGAGACACGGUACAGACUCCUACGGGCGGCAGCAGUAGGGAAUCUUCCGCAAUGGGCGGAAGCCUGACGGAGCAACGCCGCGUGGGUGAUGAAGGUCUUCGGAUCGUAAAACUCUGUUAUUAGGGAAGAACAAAUGUGUAAGUAACUAUGCACGUCUUGACGGUACCUAAUCAGAAAGCCACGGCUAACUACGUG